GCCGAGGUGGCGGAAUUGGCAGACGCACUAGCUUGAGGGGCUAGCGGCCGCAAGGCUGUCCGGGUUCAAAUCCCGGCCUCGGCA
rnacentral:tRNA from 1 species